rnacentral:sRNA from 1 species
ACCACACUCAGCCUCCAAAUAUGAUUUCUUUAAGUUAACCUUUUACCAAAACUCCAGCCAGAGGUAACCUGUAGGUAUUAUGGUUUGAACUAGCAGAGGUCCUGAGACCAUCUAACUGUUGGGUCUAUUUCUUGGGGACAGCAGCUACCAAGGGGGUGCCAGCUGGAAACAGUGACACAGAGGGGGGCCAGCCUGGUCGGAAACGACGCUGGGGAGCCAGCACAGCCACCACACAGAAGAAACCUUCCAUCAGUAUCACCACUGAAUCACUAAAGGAGGCUGUUGUGGAUCUUCAUGCUGAUGACUCUCGCAUCUCUGAGGAUGAGACAGAGCGUAAUGGCGAUGAUGGGACCCAUGACAAGGGGCUGAAAAUAUGCCGGACAGUCACUCAGGUAGUACCUGCAGAGGGCCAGGAGAAUGGGCAGAGGGAAGAAGAGGAAGAAGAGAAGGAACCUGAAGCAGAACCUCCUGUACCUCCCCAGGUGUCAGUAGAGGUGGCCUUGCCCCCACCUGCAGAGCAUGAAGUAAAGAAAGUGACUUUAGGAGAUACCUUAACUCGACGUUCCAUUAGCCAGCAGAAGUCCGGAGUUUCCAUUACCAUCGAUGACCCAGUCCGAACUGCCCAGGUGCCCUCCCCACCCCGGGGCAAGAUUAGCAACAUUGUCCAUAUCUCCAAUUUGGUCCGUCCUUUCACUUUAGGCCAGCUAAAGGAGUUGUUGGGGCGCACAGGAACCUUGGUGGAAGAGGCCUUCUGGAUUGACAAGAUCAAAUCUCAUUGCUUUGUAACGUACUCAACAGUAGAGGAAGCUGUUGCCACCCGCACAGCUCUGCACGGGGUCAAAUGGCCCCAGUCCAAUCCCAAAUUCCUUUGUGCUGACUAUGCCGAGCAAGAUGAGCUGGAUUAUCACCGAGGCCUCUUGGUGGACCGUCCCUCUGAAACUAAGACAGAGGAGCAGGGAAUACCACGGCCCCUGCACCCUCCACCCCCACCCCCGGUCCAGCCACCACAGCACCCCC